rnacentral:lncRNA from 1 species
AUCCGAAGUUGCUGCACUUUCCCUUAAGGUUUUCCUUUAGCAUGCUCAUUCCUCUUAAAUGGCUCCUUUUCUGAAAAAUGCUUAUUAAUUAAUCACUCAGGCUGUUUCAUCUGUUUGCUGGAGGGAGUCUGACUGCUAUACCCUCUCAUCCAUCAGGUCUUAUCUUAAAUAUAACUUGCUCGCUGAGUCCUUUUCCAAGCAGUCUGUUGGCACCAUUUUUUUUUUUCUAUUGUAGUGUUUCACUAAUUUUUGUCACAACACUCAUUCAAGAUGAAUCCAAGCCUGUUCUUGGACCAGCCAAAAUUAUGGGCACCAAAUAACUACAGGAUUACUAAAAUCACUGUUACUGUCCCAGAUGCUCCUUCAGAGCCGCAAGAAUAGGCAUUAAUUCUGCUGAAAUUUAAGCCAGUAUGCAUGUCUGAUACCAGGAAAAAUCAUGUUGAACAUACUGGGAAUUAGAUGUGUGUGGAAAUCCAAUAACUUCCUAUUUUUGCACAAGUCUUCUUAUAAACUUUAAAAAACAAGUUUACAUCUAUUGAAUCAUUUGAGCAUAAAGACCUAAUGAGUUCAGAUGGAGAAGACUUGAAGUGACAUCCUUGGUCAGAGAUUGAAAUUCUGAAGUCCUGCAUUUAAAUCCCCAGAGAUGCUUAUCCUACUGGACAAGGAAAUAAAAGACAACCCAUUGCCAUCCUCUCAAACAGCAAAAGAUGGAAUCCCCCUGCUUGCACUUCAAGGAGACCUUCUCUGUUCUUUUUGUAUUUGCUUAUAUAUGGUGACUUAACAUGCAAA